CUGUUGUACGUGUUGGCGCUCUUCUCGUCGCGGAGAGAAGGAGGAGUAGAAGAAGCCCGCGAAAUCGCGAUCGACGCGGCAUUGCGCGCUCGGGCUUCGCGGUCUCGCGUCACGAUAUCGAUAUUAAUAGCCCGUAUUUUCGCGUACGACUCGAAUGCGAACGAAUUCGAAACGUUCGUUUCUCGAUCGAGUUUCGAAAUCGUCGGAUUACCCGAGGGUGGAGCGGGGGCUAUCUUCCGAGUGUCACGUGAUACGCGACGAUACCCGCGAAAUUGCAGUGACUGUGUUGGCGGUGAAGUUGGUCGUCAUCAUUCGGAGACGCAGCACCAUCCAUGGAAUGCAACGCAUGAAAAAGAACAGCCAACGUAUUACGCGUCAAAGAUCAAAGUUCGGAAUUUUCGUGUGAUCGUUCGUUUCGAAAUACGAAGGUUCGGGAUUUUCGUCCGAUUAUUCGCGUUUCGUGGUAUAAACAUUCGAGUGGAUAAAUAUUACGUCGCGUUUAUUUGGAAGACUUUCGCGAGUUGUUCGUUGUUUUACGCGAUCUCGAGAAUUACGUCGCAUAUUUCGGGGCGAUACGUUAAAUUAUUUCGAAAUGAUCGGGCGAACCGCGUGAAGCGAGCCGUUGUGUUACAACGUCGGGCGUCCAUAUUCGAAUUCCCGCCGUGUUCAGACCGGCCGGGAUCGCGCGCACGCUCCGGUAAUUUUGCGGAAGCGGCGAUCGCAAAUUCGCGAGUGUACUAACCGGUUGGCGUAAGAGUUGCCGAAGGAUCUCCAACGAUGCAUCUAGACAGGAUGAGAGUGUUGCGGAAGGAGGAGGAUGAUCUGACCGAUCAUGAAGCAGCGUGCUGUGGACAUCGCUAAAGGGCUUCAUUAAUUUGCGACGACAUCCAGUCAGCGAAUUCUGAUAUAUUAUGGAGAUGCGGACAGAAAGACCACGAACUGCCGGUCGAAUAGCACCAACCGGAAGAGUAACACCAACGGUGCAUCAAACUAGUGGAGGUAGAAGAAAAGCUAUACCGGUUCCACCUCCGAGAGUGCCGACUCCUAUGCCCAUCGCGAAUAAUAAUCAACAAAGGAACAAUGCCAACGUCGUCGUCCCGCCCACCGUACCGGCCGUGUCGAAGAAAGAGCCGCACGAAAACAUCGCCCGGAUAGCGAAGCGGUAUCUCGACGAUAACAUGCAGCAGGCGUGGAUCAAUCCUCGUCUAAUAUCGAUGAUAAACAUGGAAGCGGUGACAUCGACCGAUUACGAUUCCACGAAUCUUAGCAGAAAUUUUAAUCAAGUCGGCUUCAACACAUACAAUUACUCACAGUUCGAGGAGAAGUACAAACCGCGACAGUUCUUCAAGUACGGCGAUGAGUAUCUCGAGUACGGGCACAAACUCGGUGCCAAUGAAAGAUACCCGCGGUCCAAGUAUCAGGACGGUUCGAGGCUCGAUCAAAGAUACUCACGCAGUCAAUCUCAGCCGGAACGGCAACACCAUCUGUGCCAGGAGAUACGCUCCAAGUCCCAGGAUUCACGCGAGCUCACAUUCUACCAAAUAAAUCCGCCUGUGAAAACGGAGAAUCCACGGCAACACGACAAGUCGCAUCAAAAGCUGAAGAAAGAACUGACAUUCUACGAGAUCGACGGACCGCCAUCCUGCCAGGAGAAGAGGGAAAAGUCUGAGAUAUGCAAGGAGCGUGCCGACAAAGGGACCAAGUCUCACGACAAAUCUUACGCUGGUGGUCAGGAGAGGUCGCAAGCCGCGAAGCACGGCAAACAGAGUCACCAGGAGCAGCAAAAAACAUUGGCGAACGUGUCGGAUCACUUGCAGCUGAACCGGUCGCAGUCGGAUCUCACGGAGUGCCAGCUGCCGAAUUAUUGCGGCUAUCGAAAUAAUCCAUACAUCGAUCCGCCCAAGUAUCGACAGUUUGACAGGCCGCCGCGCUAUCAAGAGGCCCCGUCGAGAGUAGUGGAACCGCCACCCAAAUAUCAUGCCGAUCCGCCUAAGUACAUCGAGGUGUCUAGACGACAGGACGACUUUAAGAAGAUCCAGGAGGAGAGGGGCAGACGACAAGGUGGUGGUGGCGGCGGGGGUGGCAGCAUCAGUAGCGGUGGCAGUGGCGGUAAUUCCAGUGGGGGAAGAGGGAACACCAGCACUCAUGGCGCCGAGACGCCCUCUAAUCUGGCCAGUAUCACGCCGACCGCGCGAGAAGCAACACGUGCCCCGAUCGCGCGACAACGAAUCUUCCACAAAGCGUGCGACGUGCGCAAUAACAGUAGCAAUAACAACAAUAACAAUAGCAAGGAGAACUUGCUACAGGAGACUGGCGAUGAUUGCGAAGCAACGUUAUCCUCGCGUUGUUACAUCGAACCGUUGAAAAAUCAUCACCACCAUCAUCAUCAUCAUCAGCAGCAGCAACAGACCCGCGGGAUCAACGGUAGCAACAUCGCUAGCGGUGUCAUCGUCGGUAAUGUUUUCGCGGACGGUGGCUGCGACGGUUCGUGCGGCGAGGUAACAACGUGUGACAAGUACAAGGGUACCGGGUCGGAGUCGAAUCGGAACAGUAGCGGCGACGCGAUUCAAGGUCGUCCGAGCGAGAGAUCCAUGCUGAAGAUCGAGAAGCUGUCGGGGAAGGUCGCUCUCCACAGCGGCAACGGCGAGACUGCGGCAGUCGGCAAGUGUAGCGCGGAAAGGAUGAAGCCGGCCUCGCAGGAGGCCGGCUACAACAAGCACGAGGUCAGCAAAGCCAAGAGCCACGAUGUCGGGCAUGGUUACAAGGUCGAGAACCUGCGUUAUUACGGCGAGCUAAAGGGUUACGCCGACUUUAAGGUUUACGGUGCCGUCGACAAGCAGCCGGCGUCCGCGCUAGUAUCCGCGCACGAGAAAUCGCAUCUUCUCCACCCACCCUCCUCGUGCGAAAAGGGUGACAAGUGUCACGGCAAAAUGCUGGCCUCGUCCGCGCAAGGUUACGGUCUGGGUAAGAUCGCUCAGCAACAGUCGGAGAAAAGUCACCACAGCGGGGAUCACUACUACCAUAGAUCAUCGCAUUCGAAACCGUCGAGCGCAUAUCAGGUGUACCAGGAGACCAAGUACUCAUACAACGUGAGCGGAGUGCCCGGGACGCCGGCGCAGGCCAGCGCAGCCGCAGCGUUCUUCGCAAGGUAAGCGAUGAACGCGAUGGCCUACUUGUUGGAAGGAAUUACGCUCGUGUUUUGGUCGGAUCACAGAGUGACGUGAAAUAUAAUAUACCCAUGUAAUGAGACACGAUAUUAUCAGCAAUGGAUAAAUGUGUAAAGUUCACCAUUGCGCAACGCUGGACUUCGUUGAGGAGAGACGAAGUGCUAGUACAAAGAAGUGUCGCCGAGAUGAUCUAGAAAUAGCGCUCGCGAGAACAUUCGACAAGAAGAAAUAAACGCUAGAGCUGAGUGAAGAGGAACGAUUAAAUUGCAGUUACUUUUUUUUACAUUUUUUGCGGGAUAUUGAGUCUAAUAAUUUUUGGAAAACUCAUGCGAAAUAAUUAAACGAAGAGACAUUAAAAUCGUGCUCUCACUGUUCUACGCGAUGUAUAAUUUAAAAAAAAUUUAAAUUGUGCGCGCGCGAGGAAAAACCAGCCGCAGUGUAACUCACGACAUCGCUUGGAAAACGUUUUCGGCCCGGCGUCGACGUCGUUACUCUUCCGGUUUUCGUGCGCCACCCGUAUAUAUUCAAUACGCGAAACGUGCGCACACGCGGCUUUCGUGCCGGAAUAAAUCGCGAUAAAUCGCCGCCGAUUCGUGCGGACGAGCUGCGGCGGAGCACGUGUCACACUUCCACGCCAAUUUUCGACCGAUGUCGAAUCGUUCUAUUCAUGCCCGUUCGAUUCAUAUUAUAACCAGUUUAUUACCGUCUUCGCCAUCGUUAGCAGCUGUUGACAGUUGGGUCAUUUACUUAUCUGUUAUACGUCAUUUAUAUCAAUUAUAAUUCGAUAAGUUGACAACAAACUUGUUGAAAUACUUUGAAUAGAACUUUAUCGCAUACAUUCCAACUUGUCGAUAUCUCUCGUCUGAUGAUUACUUGCCAUAAGAUGCCAGGCGAAACGCGUAUAUAAUCGAGUAUAUCGCUCAUAGAUGAUCGUUUGAACAGAUAUCGGAUUAUCUUGGGAAAUUGCGCUUCCUGUUGCAUCGAGUUUACAUUGUGACUGUUAUGACUGAAUAUUGCAAGACCGUAGAUGGUUUGCAUCACUGAUCAAGCCUCGCCGGCAAGCUAUGAAAGUGUCAUGAGAAAAUUGUGAAAUCCCGGAAUUUACGCGAUCCCGUGAGGAUUCCAAUCGAAGUGGAAGAUUCCUGGAAUUACUGAAACGACAUGGCGACUGGCCAGGAAGGCAAGGAAUCUCCCAGAGCAGCGCAGAAAUUGAAUCUGUCGUCGAGUCCGCAUCGGAGACGACGUUCCGGCGACGAAAACAUCGGAU